CUUCUGAUAAUAUUCUUUUUUCCAUUAUCUCUAAAAACAGAAACUCAAAAAUAUACCAACUGACAACUGAAAGGAAGCUUGAUGUCAUAAUUCACAACCAUGCUUCGCAUCAUUAAAUCCCAUUCUUCUCAUCUGCUCAUCCAUUUGUUAUCUGACCAGGUAUCAUGUUGGGCAACCUGGUUUCCAAAAAAAAGAUUAGAAUUGCUUUCCCCACACGUCAGAAUAAAACUGCUAACGGAAUAGAGAACAGCCAUUUAGCUACUGAGAGAAAUCUUCUCUUAUGGACAUCAUACAGAUGCCCUGCUGGGGACAAAUCCAAUUGAGAGCUACAGAAUCAGUCUGGAAAACACACCCAUCCAAAACUGUUUGCGGAGAUCAGGAUGUGCUAAAAGAGGAAACUACUAGAAAAAAGACUUCACAAGCAUAUCAAAACAUAAAGCAAUAGUUCUACUUAAACAGAUAAGGAGUUUUCUUAGUUUGUGAUGGAAACUCCCAACCCUGUUAUGCUAAUUAAAAUUUACUGGAGAGCAAGGAAAGGCAAUGAUACUGCGAGCAAGUAGUGCCCAGAGACCCUUAAGAAUAUAAGCAUGAUGACAGAGGUUGAGAGAAGGAGGCAAUGAGUGCCUUCAAGGUAACAGAAUAGGUGUGUCAUGGAAAAUGGUCUGAAGCAAGUGUAUGACUAGAAUUUUUCUUCAAACCAUGAAGGGCUAGCAGGCCUCUGUGGGGCUUUCAAUAUCCACAGGUAAAAUAGAAGAGGUCUCCAGUUUUCCAAAGCCUCAAGCUGAGCUCACAUAUUCUGGUCUUUCCUGGGGGGUUGUUUAUUAUACUAUUAUCUCUACUUCUUCUUCAAUUUGAUUCUUUUUCUUUCUCUGCCUUUUCUUACCACUUCAGUUCUUUCAAUUCUACACCCAAGCAGUUUUUCCUCCCUAUAAUCCAGACCUGUGCCAGAAAGACCCCCAACUGAACACCAUCCACUCCCCAGCCCCCACCACCAGCUCAAUGCUCUACUUUUUUCUUUCAGGGAAUAACUUGAUUGCUGGGUAAAAAGACUGCAAUAAAUAAUAGAGCAGAAAAGAACUACUUAUUGGAAUGUUAGCUAUUCAGGCACUGAGAUUCUAUGUUUACUUUUCACUUUUCUCAUCCUAAACAUAUUUGUGAAAACCCAAUUGUGUGAACAGUUUUCUACCUUCCUUUGAGGUGGGCCAGCCCCAAAUUAAACAGCCAAAUAUCCUAAAUACCCCCUCCUCUCACCAUGUCUACAGAGCCCAAAUCAGGUAAUUAUAAAAUUAGAAUGAACAAAGGUGAACAUGGUAAUGC
rnacentral:lncRNA from 1 species